AUCGAUUAGCUAAAAUGACUUUGUAGAUUAAAAGUCUGCCAUCAUUAAUCCACUCAUGCUUUUCCAUCAAUGAAUUCAAUAUUGCAUACAAAUUGGAGGUAUUGGCUUUAUCAAGUUAACUUUUCUUUGAAUGGUGUUAGAGAGCGAAUACAAUAUUGUCGAAAGUGUUUUUGCCGGCAUUAGUACAAAUACAUCUUUUGUAAUUAUGUUAUGUAGCUGGUACAAAUACAGAUUUCCUACUGGUUUUGUACUAGUACCCAAGAUUAUUGAUAAUUGCAAAUUUUGCUCUUGUUUUCAUAUUCAUUGCAAGAGUGACGAGUAUACUGGUUCGCUUCAAAGAAAUGUACGCUUUAAUGGAAAUUAAUUCAGGAUGAUCUGUUACACCUAAAAGUGGCGGCGAAUUUGCGUACUUUUUGAAAAUCCCUAUAGAGAUAUUGGUAAGAAACUGAUAAAGGUUUCCUGCACUUUAUUUUUGUAAUGAUUGAACACCGGUACAACAAAAAGGGGAAAUUAAUUCAGGAUGAUCUGUUACACCGAAAACUGGCGGCGAAUUUGUUUGAAAAUCCCCAUAGAGAUAUUGGAUUCAGAGAAGAAUGGAAUGGCCAUUUUUUUAAAAUCAGGGUUUGCAGUUCUUGAGUUGCUGAAUUUGCCACUCUUUUCAGUUGGCAGAACACAAAGCAGUGAAGGGACUUUUUCAAUCGUCGCUAUAAUCAGGGUUUCAGUAUAGCUUUUGGUCCAUCUUAAUCUGGUAAUCGUGAUGCAGGUGUGUUUUUUUCCCUAAAAAAUUGGCUUGUAAAAUAGCAGACGUAUGAGCCAAAAAACCAGUAAAUGCCAUUGAAGAAAAAAAUUUGUUAUUUACAAAUGGAUUUUUUCUUAAACAUUUUAGUCCAAAACUGUGUGGGAAUUUUAUAUUUUAGAAAUCUGGGUACAAUUAUAGAGAAACUGGAUCAAUGAUUGUUGGUUGUUGUUUAGAAAACUCCGGAUGUAGGUGGAACUGCAAACCAGGUUUACUCCCGAGCCUGGGCACAAGGGCGGAAUGCAGUGUACAAAUUUUGAACAACAUGAAGGCAUCUAGGGCCAGGCUAUUUAAGGAGUACAACGAGGCUCGAAGAGAAAAAUCUCUGGGUUUGAAUAUUAAACUUAUAUGACAAUACAAAUAUAUUCUAAGGGACAGCUCUCAUCAGGGUGAGGCUGUUUUUCUGCCAGUUGACAUUCAUGUGUUCUACUAUUUGGUUGUAUUAAGCGAUUCUUAAAGCAGUUUAAUAUGCUUUCCACUUUUGAAUACAGGAUCCUAUAGAAACACCCUAUCAAUAUGGUCCGCUCUAGCUUGCCAUGACCGUUUCAGAGCAAUGCCUAUAGGAGAGAUAUGCUCCAAUGUCUUGAAAACUGCCUGGAACCCAGCAUGGUCUCUACAAUCUGUCUGUCAUGCCAUAAUUACUUUAAUGGCUCACUAAGAGGCAGACAGCCCCUUAAACUGUGAUCAUGGAGUGAUUUACAUUAACCAUUAAGAACUUUGAUGUACAUACAUUUGAGUGGAAGGGCUUUACUAUUUUUUGUUUUUCAACAUCUAUUUCAGGCAUUAUUCUAUGAUCUAGUGAUAAUUGAAUUUGAGGGUAUCAGUCAAUAACCAGAAUGUGUACAAGGUUAGCAGCCAUGCCUAACAGGGGUAAUCGUUGAACUCUGAUUUGUCAAUUAAAUUC